rnacentral:rRNA from 1 species
UACAGAGGGUGCUAGCGUUGUUCGGAAUCAUUGGGCGUAAAGAGCGCGCAGGCGGUUUGAGAAGUCAGAUGUGAAAGAGGCCGGCUUAACCGGCAAGGGUCAUUUGAAACUGACAGACUAGAGUACAGCAGAGGAUAGCGGAAUUCCCGGUGUAGUGGUGAAAUGCGUAGAUAUCGGGAGGAACACCAGUGGCGAAGGCGGGUCUCUGGGCCGAAACUGACGCUGAGGAGCGAAAGCGUGGGGAGCAAACAGGG